rnacentral:rRNA from 1 species
GACGAACGCUGGCGGCGUGCUUAACACAUGCAAGUCGAACGGAAAGGCCCUGCUUUUGUGGGUUGCUCGAGUGGCGAACGGGUGAGUAACACGUGAGUAACCUGCCCUUGACUUUGGGAUAACUUCAGGAAACUGGGGCUAAUACCGGAUAGGAGCUCCUGCUGCAUGGUGGGGGUUGGAAAGUUUCGGCGGUUGGGGAUGGACUCGCGGCUUAUCAGCUUGUUGGUGGGGUAGUGGCUUACCAAGGCUUUGACGGGUAGCCGGCCUGAGAGGGUGACCGGCCACAUUGGGACUGCGAUACGGCCCAGACUCCUACGGGAGGCAGCAGUGGGGAAUAUUGCACAAUGGGCGGAAGCCUGAUGCAGCAACGCCGCGUGCGGGAUGACGGCCUUCGGGUUGUAAACCGCUUUCGCCUGUGACGAAGCGUGAGUGACGGUAAUGGGUAAAGAAGCACCGGCUAACUACGUG